rnacentral:rRNA from 1 species
UACGAGAGGCCCAAACGUUAUUCGGAUUUACUGGGCUUAAAGAGUUCGUAGGCGGCGCAGAAAGUAGGGUGUGAAAGCCCUCGGCUCAACCGAGGAAUUGCGCUUUAAACUACUGUGCUUGAGGAACCUAGAGGUGAGCGGAACUGAUGGUGGAGCGGUGAAAUGCGCAGAUAUCAGGAGGAACACCUAUUGCGAAGGCAGCUCGCUGGGACGUAACUGACGCUGAGACGCGAAAGCGUGGGGAGCAAACAGG